CCUGCAAUGAGGGCACCCACCCAUAAGUUAAGAUCACAACGAGCAUGUCCCUCAAUCAUACGCCGAGGUCACUGACCAGUAACAGAUGGGAAGUAACUCACGGAAAACAAUCAGUCAAAUUGGUUAGAACUGAUCGAGCACGUACUUGUAAACGGGGAGAAUGGCGUCUAAAAGAGACAAAGUGUUGAAUCCCUUAGGUGCGCUCUUGUCACCCUUAGACAACAGCAGAUAGGUGACUGGACCAACCAGCACUGGCACGGUGUCAAUACCCAGCGCCUUGGCUUCGUUGUACUCGCUCACAGCCUUUCGAGAAGA
rnacentral:lncRNA from 1 species